rnacentral:rRNA from 1 species
CCUACGGGGGGCAGCAGUAGGGAAUCUUGGGCAAUGGGCGAAAGCCUGACCCAGCGAUGCCGCGUGUGUGAAGAAGGCCUUCGGGUUGUAAAGCACUUUCAGUAGAGAAGAAAAGCCUAGGGUUAAUAACCCUGAGUCUUGACGUAACCUACAGAAGAAGCACCGGCUAACUCCGUGCCAGCAGCCGCGGUAAUACGGAGGGGGCUAGCGUUGUUCGGAAUUACUGGGCGUAAAGGGCGUGUAGGCGGUCUAUCGAGUCAGGCGUGAAAGCCCCGGGCUUAACCUGGGUCGGUCAUUCGAUACUGUCAGACUAGAGUAUGGUAGAGGGUAGUGGAAUUUCUAGUGUAGCGGUGAAAUGCGUAGAUAUUAGAAGGAACACCAGUGGCGAAGGCGACUGCCUGGACUGAUACUGACACUGAGGUGCGAAAGCGUGGGUAGCG